UCAAUGGUUGAAAGCACUUUGGCUCAAA
rnacentral:piRNA from 1 species